GACCAACUAAGUUUGUUCUGGGUAUAAGCUUUCAUGUGCAUGCACACAAAAGCUUAUACCCAGAACAAACUUAGUUGGUC
rnacentral:miRNA from 1 species